rnacentral:rRNA from 1 species
UGCGCACUCCUACGGGAGGCAGCAGUAGGGAAUCUUCGGCAAUGGGCGAAAGCCUGACGGAGCAACGCCGCGUGAGUGAAGAAGGAUUUCGGUUCGUAAAGCUCUGUUGUUAGGGAAGAAUGGAUAUGUAGUAACUAUACAUAUAAGAGACGGUACCUAACCAGAAAGCCACGGCUAACUACGUGCCAGCAGCCGCGGUAAUACGUAGGUGGCAAGCGUUGUCCGGAAUUAUUGGGCGUAAAGCGCGCGCAGGUGGUUUAAUAAGUCUGAUGUGAAAGCCCACGGCUCAACCGAUGAGGGUCAUUGGAACCUGUUAAACUUGAGUGAAGGAGAGAAAAGUGGAAUUCCUAGUGUAGCGGUGAAAUGCGUAGAGAUUAGGAGGAACACCAGUGGCGAAGGCGGCUUUUUGGCCUGUAACUGACACUGAGGCGCGAAAGCGUGGGGAGCAAACAGGAUUAGAUACCCUUGUAGUCCGA